UAGAUAGAUAGAGGCUAGACUCUUGUUUAAGUUGGGCCUCAUGGGAUAUCUGCAUCUUGAUAGGCCAUGAAAGUCCAGAAUCAGAUGGUUCUGAGUCAGCCUCAAUACAAAAUUUUGUCCAAUUUCUUAAGGGUGAUCAAUCUCAGGAAAGACUAAGUGAAUCACAGAGUUAUAAGAUUGGAAAGGACCUCACCAGUCAUCUGGUCUAAUUAACCAAACUUAUAAAUUACAACUAACAUCAUUUGCAUAGUACCUGAAGAUUGAUAAAGAGAUUAUAACAACUGACAAACUAAAAUGUAUUCAUCAAAUAUAUGUUAGUUUGCAAUGGGGAAUCAGAAACCAACUCUUUCAUUGUGAAUGGAAUGAGUGAAAAGGGAAAAGAAAGAAAAGAUGCAAGUGUGUUGGUACCAGAGGAAAGAGGUGAAAAGUGUAUAUAUGACAUACUUUUAAGUUUAAUUUUUAUUAUUAACAUUUUUACCAUUGCUUUCUCUUUUAAAUUUUUUAAUUUAAUUUUAAUAACAAAAUUCCACAUCAGUUUUCCAAAGUCACUUGAUCUGUAUUGUCUCCCUCUCUUCUUCCCUCCCUACUUCUGGAGCUAUCAAGCAAUUCAGUCUGGGUUAUACAUGUAUUAUCAUGCAAAACAUAUUUCCAUAUUGAUCAUUUUUGUAAAUGAAUAAUCUUAGAGAACCAAAACCCCCAAAUAUAUGCCCAAAUGAACAAGUGAUAAAUCAUGUUUUCACCUGCAUUUCUACUCCAACAGUUUUCCAUCACUUUCUUAAAUUUAGACAAUCAACUAAAAAACAGUCAGUCUUAAUUUGUAGUGUUUGCCAAUUUCUGAAAUGUAAAUGCUCUCACUGAAAAUUUAACAAUCAGCUCUCCAAACUGGUGCCCCAAAUGAGCUAGCUCCAGCAAAUCUUUGGUUAAAGGGCUUAUUGAUCACAUAUUCUAGGUUUGAAGGGACUUGACAGGACAUUUUGUCCCAGCAUUGCUGUUGUUGAGUUGUUUUUUGAGUUGUGUCCCCCUCUUGGUGAUUCAUUUGGGGUUUUCUUGGCAAAGAUACUGGAGUGGUUUGCCAUUUCCUUCUCCAGAUCAUUUUACAGAUGAGGGAACUGAGGCAAAUAGUGUUCAUUGACUUGCCCAGGGUCACACAGCUAGUUUCUGAGGCCAGAUUGAACUCUGUCUUUCUGACUCCAGGUCCCACAAUAUUCACUAUGCCACCUCACUGCCACCUGGCAUAAAUAGGUGCUUAAUAAUUAUUUGUUUCCUUCCCUUCUACUUCCCUCCUCUCAUUCUGAAAAAUGAGGACGAUACUUGUACUGCCUACCUUAUAGGAUUGUGGGAAAUUGAUUUAUAAGGGAGAAGCUAUAUGACUCAGUGAAUUGAGAGCCAGACCUGGAGACAGGAGGUCCUGGGUUCAAAUUUGGCCUCAGAUUCUUCCUAGCUGGAUGACCCUGGACAAGUCACUUAACCCCCAUUGCCUAGCUUUCACCACUCUUCUGCUUUGGAACUAAUACACAACACUGAUUCUAGGAUAGAAGGUAAGCAUUUUUAAAGUACUUUGUAUACUCUAAAGUACUAUCAGAAUAUGAGAGAAUAUCACUGAAGUUUGACUACUUACUGAUCUAUGUCUACUCACUACUUAAAGGUGUUAAAGCUGGGGGGGGGGGGGGGGACAGGACUGGGACCAGAGUUCCUCAGGUUAGGAAUGGGGAAAAUAGUAAGAGGAAAUGCAAAGGUAAAAGUAAGAAGAACCUCACCUGAAGAUAAGGACAAGGGAAAAGAUAAGAAUCACAGUCAUAGUCAAUGCUGGUGACAAAGGAUUUGAGUUUAUUGCAAAGUGGUAGAUCUUUUAAAAGUAAAAACCACAGGAAUUACAAACAAUUGUCCCUGAGAAAGGUCUACAGGACAGUAUAACAAGAAUGUAGAUAGUACAGCUGAUAGGGUAAUGGUUAGGGCAGGGUAAGAUAAUGAUUCCAGGAAUCAUCCAGGGUUCAUGGAAUGGUCAGCAAUCUUGUUCUGGGAAACUAAAAGAAGGUAAAGGCAAGGGCAAUUAGAUCAGUUCUCAUGAAAAUUCAGCCUCUGAGGAAGGUUCUCAGAUCUUUAUCUAAGAUAGACCCAGAGAUAUCAACCUCUGACAUAAAGGAAUUUGGGAGAUGGGAAAAUGAUGGGAGUUAAGUGAUUUUUAUAACAACAUCAAAGGAAGGAAAAUGUCUCUCUAGAUUGGUUGAGACAUACAUUUCUCCUAUCAGGUGUUCAGCUUCAAGGCCAAAACAUAGAAUGGACCGAGAGGAAACAUGAAGGAGUCUCUGAAGUCCACUUUCUGGUGUUAGUAAACUACAUUUCAAUCAACCACCUCUGAGGUGCUCCAGAAUUCCUCAAUUUGCUGAACCACUGAAAACCAAACCUGGCCACCAGUUGAACUGUCAACAUUGAUCUCAACCCUCUGACUCCUGAAGACUCCUGAACUUCACCAGAUCUUCAAAAAUGGGCCCCAGAACAUCAGUCGUUGCCGAAGUUGAUGCCGUGCAGCAUAAGCCAAUUAGAGGAGAUGAAGCCACACAGAUCGGAGCUUUGGAAAUAAACAUCUGCUUGCAGCUGGGGAAAUGACUGCUAGGAACUGGUGUUUUUAUGCUUGUUUCCACAACUGAUCAGAACUCCAUAUAAUUUACUGCCUGUGACAACCGCAAGGUUCAUGUUAUUUGGCCCUGCCCUGUGUCUGAUCCCCAAUCCAGCUGCACUAGUUACAUCUGGUGCUUCUUGACAUUGACUGGCCCAAAUAACCAGAAAGUACUUCCUGGAUGGGGUGAGAUUCUGGCAAAUGAGGACUAGGGGGUGAAGGGGAGCUGUGAAAGGAUCGGGGUGAUGACUCACUGCUAGGCACAGGAAAUGGGUUUCAUAGACUGCUAGACAUUUGGGCUUGGAAAGAACCUUAGAGAACAUAUAGACGAACCUACUUCGUUCCAUUUUUACAGUUGAGGAAACUGAGGCCCAGGUAGGGAGAGAAUUUGUCCAAGUUUAUAUUAAACCUAGUUAGAACUUGUUCAAGGUUAUUUUAAAACUAGUUAGUAUCAGAACUGGAACUCAGUCUUUGGUUUUCUUGAUUAAUAAUGCAACGUCAACUCCCCAUUUGAAAAGCAAGGAAAUAAAAAGAUGGAGAGGAGAUCCCAGUCAAGUGAAAGACAACAUUUUGUUUUGUUUCAGCUUGAUAUUUAGCCUGCAAGGUAUCUGAGCAUGCUUGAAGGCAGAAGGAAAGAAGCCAGUGAGGGGGGAGGAUUGGAAAACAUAAGAGAGUUAGCAGGGCAUGUGGGAAAAGACUGCCCCAGAGGAGCUUAGGAGAAUGAGAUCAAGAAGUCAAGUCUUUAUGUAGGAAGAUGGACUACAUGUUCUUUGAAAAUAAGAGGUGAUAAAGGAUGAACAAGGAGGCAGGGGAGGCAUACUUGAUGGUCUUAAUCAUCUUUUUUCAUAAAGGAAGUGAUAGCAGUUUUUAGAGGCAUACUUGAUGGUCUUAAUCAUCUUUUUUUCAUAAAGGAAGUGAUAGCAGUUUUUAGAGGAAAAGUUUAGGGGCAAGGGGGUGAAUUAGAGGACUGAGAAGAUAAAUAAAAUCCAGAACAAAUAAGAUCAUAGAUUCAGAGUGAGAAUGGAUGUUAGAGAGCUAUAGUUCAAUUCCUACAUUUUACAAAUGAGGAAAUUGAGGCUCAGAAAUUUGGUUACGGUUACAUAAGUAACAUAUGGCAGAGACAGGAUUUGAAUUCAAGUCCUCCCUCUUCAAGUCUACUCUGGGAGCUUCUCAAAUAUUCUCACUUCCCAGCAGGGACAGACAAACAAGAUAAGUCCCUUGUGGAUAGAAAACACAAGGAGUCAUGUAAUUCCCAUGUAAGAGCAAGGGAAAAUCUCAGCACCAACAGGGGCUCAUAGCUAAGUUCAAGAUUCAGUCUCAAGGCACUCAAAUAUAAACUUUCCAUAUUUUGUAUAGCAGUAGGAGAGAUGUGGACAGCUAAGCAGUACAGUGCAUAAUAAAGUGCCAGGC